rnacentral:rRNA from 1 species
AACGUAGGAGACAAACGUUAUCCGGAGUUACUGGGCGUAAAGGGCGUGUAGGUGGUUACGUAAGUCUGGCGUGAAAUUUCUCGGCUUAACCGAGGCAGGUCGUCGGAUACUGCGGGACUAGAGGACGGUAGAGGCGUGUGGAAUUCCGGGUGUAGUGGUGAAAUGCGUAGAUAUCCGGAGGAACACCAGUGGCGAAGGCGACACGCUGGGCCGUACCUGACACUGAUGCGCGACAGCAUGGGGAGCAAACAGG